CCUACGGGAGGCAGCAGUGAGGAAUAUUGGUCAAUGGACGAGAGUCUGAACCAGCCAAGUCGCGUGAAGGAUGACUGCCCUAUGGGUUGUAAACUUCUUUUAUAUGGGAAUAAAAUGUUCCACGUGUGGGAUUUUGUAUGUACCAUAUGAAUAAGGAUCGGCUAACUCCGUGCCAGCAGCCGCGGUAAUACGGAGGAUCCGAGCGUUAUCCGGAUUUAUUGGGUUUAAAGGGAGCGUAGGUGGAUUGUUAAGUCAGUUGUGAAAGUUUGCGGCUCAACCGUAAAAUUGCAGUUGAAACUGGCAGUCUUGAGUACAGUAGAGGUGGGCGGAAUUCGUGGUGUAGCGGUGAAAUGCUUAGAGAUCACGAAGAACUCCGAUGGCGAAGGCAGUUCACUGGACUGCAACUGACACUGAGGCGCGAAAGUGUGGGUAUCAAACAGGAUUAGAUACCCGUGUAGUC
rnacentral:rRNA from 1 species